GCUCACAUGGUCCAGUGGUUAAGACUCAUCGUUGUGGCCGAUGCGACCCAGGUUCGAUUCCUGGUGUGGGCA
rfam:Schizosaccharomyces pombe chromosome II, complete replicon